GCCUCUUCAUGCUGCAGCAGCGAAGAUAAGCCGGUGAAUCGGGUCGGCAAAUUCAAUAUGGCAGCUGCUCGCCUUAGUGUUGGGUUGCAGGCAGUUCUAGUGAUGUCCCUCUUACUACUGCAGAUUAUGCCAUUUCUGCCAUGUACGCUCGCCACCGGAGGUAACUCUGCCGAGCUACUGAUCAUGGGCAAGGAGACGCAUCAAGGCCAUCAUCGUCUCUUAGCUCCAACCAAAUCAAUAUGGUCUCGUCGAAUCCUACUCCAUGAGAACUUUUCCGGGCCGCAACAUGACCCUCCUAAUCAUCGGCAACAAGGUAACUAAUUCCGUCUGUUGGGUUCGUCGUUCCACGAACAUGGUAGCACAUAGGCUGCAGUCUGCAGGCUGGUGAAGGAAGGACAACUUUUGGUUUCUCCGGAUUUUAUUUUACCUUAUCUUGAUAAAGAUAAGGGUUUUAUUUUUCAUUCUAAUUUUUCUCUUGAUAAAGAUUGUAAUUUACCUUCUCUUGAUAAAGAUUGUAAGCAAGUCGUUUUAGGUGAAUAAAGUGGUACUAGUGUUCAUCCUCAA